rnacentral:misc_RNA from 1 species
GGCGGCUGGUCUUAAAUGCAUUAGCUGACCCAUGAUGUAUCUUUGGUUCUACUCGGCGUGAUAAGUUAUGACCGCUGAGGACAUCUGCUUUUGGGCGGAUGGCCAAGAGUGCCUUGGAUCGCUUCCAAUCUGUCUGUCCUUUGCGGCGACAACCUUUCAACAUUGACCUCGAAUCAGGUGGGACUACCCGCUGAACUUAA